rnacentral:rRNA from 1 species
AAUGGGGGAAACCCUGAUCUAGCCAUGCCGCGUGAGCGAUGAAGGCCUUAGGGUUGUAAAGCUCUUUCAGCUGGGAAGAUAAUGACGGUACCAGCAGAAGAAGCCCCGGCUAACUCCGUGCCAGCAGCCGCGGUAAUACGGAGGGGGCUAGCGUUGUUCGGAAUUACUGGGCGUAAAGCGCACGUAGGCGGAUUAGUCAGUCAGAGGUGAAAUCCCAGGGCUCAACCCUGGAACUGCCUUUGAUACUGCUAGUCUUGAGGUCGAGAGAGGUGAGUGGAAUUCCGAGUGUAGAGGUGAAAUUCGUAGAUAUUCGGAGGAACACCAGUGGCGAAGGCGGCUCACUGGCUCGAUACUGACGCUGAGGUGCGAAAGCGUGGGGAGCAAA